rnacentral:lncRNA from 10 species
CAACACUCGGGCCAAGUAAACUUGAGAGGUUUAAUACGUGCAUGUAUUAAGUGCUGCAAGACUUCAAGGAAGCUUUCAAGCCAAUGAACUCUAAAUUGUAUGGAAAGGAAAAUGCAGGAAAUGGGAUCUCACUCCAUCACUCAGGCUGGAGUACAGUGCUGAGAUCAAGGCUCACUGCAGCCUUGAACACCUGGACUCAAGUGAUUCUCCUGCCUCAGCCUCCUGAGUAGCAGAGACUACAGAGCCUCAUUCUGUUGCCCAGGCUGGAGUGCAAUGGCAUGAUCUCAGUUCACUGUGACCUCUGCCUCCCUGGUUCAAGUGAUUCUUCUGCCUCAGCCUCCCAGGUAGCUGGACUAAAGGGAGCCAGCUUUCAACAAGUAUGUAUUAUUUAUCUGAUUUUCCGAUUUGGAGAACAAAAAUGUUGAAUUUAUAAGAAAAACAUAAAAUUAUUUAAAAAGACAUGAACCACACUGUAAUAAUAGCAUAUAAAAUGACUAUAUAGAUGCUUAAGCACAUUUUACACUAUGGGUAUGCUAGCUCUAAUUCUUGCUCACUAAGAAAGAUAAAACUCCUAGCCAUGGGUGCCUAAGGAAAAAUUUCUGUUGAUCUGCUUUUGUCUGAAAAAGCAUUAAUUUCCUUUCC